rnacentral:rRNA from 1 species
AGUCGAACGGUAACAGGUCUUCGGAUGCUGACGAGUGGCGAACGGGUGAGUAAUACAUCGGAACGUGCCUAGUAGUGGGGGAUAACUACUCGAAAGAGUAGCUAAUACCGCAUGAGAUCUACGGAUGAAAGCAGGGGACCUUCGGGCCUUGUGCUACUAGAGCGGCUGAUGGCAGAUUAGGUAGUUGGUGGGGUAAAGGCUUACCAAGCCUGCGAUCUGUAGCUGGUCUGAGAGGACGACCAGCCACACUGGGACUGAGACACGGCCCAGACUCCUACGGGAGGCAGCAGUGGGGAAUUUUGGACAAUGGGCGAAAGCCUGAUCCAGCAAUGCCGCGUGCAGGAUGAAGGCCCUCGGGUUGUAAACUGCUUUUGUACGGAACGAAAAGCCUGGGGCUAAUAUCCCCGGGUCAUGACGGUACCGUAAGAAUAAGCACCGGCUAACUACGUGCCAGCAGCCGCGGUAAUACGUAGGGUGCAA